UACAGAGGGUGCGAGCGUUGUCCGGAAUCACUGGGCGUAAAGGGCGCGUAGGCGGUGACUUAAGCGUGUGGUGAAAGCUCGGGGCUCAACCCCGAGUCGGCCGUGCGAACUGGGUCACUGGAGCAUGUCAGAGGCAGGCGGAAUUCCGGGUGUAGCGGUGGAAUGCGUAGAGAUCCGGAAGAACACCGGUGGCGAAGGCGGCCUGCUGGGCAGUAGCUGACGCUGAAGCGCGACAGCGUGGGGAGCAAACAGG
rnacentral:rRNA from 1 species